rnacentral:rRNA from 1 species
UGGGGAAUAUUGCACAAUGGGCGCAAGCCUGAUGCAGCAACGCCGCGUGAGGGACGACGGCCUUCGGGUUGUAAACCUCCUUUAGUAGGGAAGAAGCGAAAGUGACGGUACCUGCAGAAAAAGCACCGGCUAACUACGUGCCAGCAGCCGCGGUAAUACGUAGGGUGCGAGCGUUGUCCGGAAUUAUUGGGCGUAAAGAGCUCGUAGGCGGUCUGUCGCGUCUGCUGUGAAAACCCGAGGCUCAACCUCGGGCCUGCAGUGGGUACGGGCAGACUAGAGUGCGGUAGGGGAGAAUGGAAUUCCUGGUGUAGCGGUGGAAUGCGCAGAUAUCAGGAGGAACACCGAUGGCGAAGGCAGUUCUCUGGGCCGUAACUGACGCUGAGGAGCGAAAGCGUGGGGAGCGAACAGGAUUAGAUACCCUGGUAGUCCACGCCGUAAAACGUUGGGCGCUAGAUGUGGGGACCAUUCCACGGUUUCCGUGUCGCAGCUAACGCAUU